GUCGACGUACUUCAUAGGAUCAUUUCUAUAGGUCACGUCCCUCUUUGACUCUUCAAAAGAGCCACUGAAUCCAACUUGGUUGAUGAGUGAGAUACCCUUAUACCCUCAAAGUGAGAAUAAUCUUUAGCUUGUCCGUGACUCUCAGCAGUCCGGUCAUCUACAUUUUGUUUGCCUUUGUUUGGGCUGAAGGCUUCGGCCUGACGUCCUAAAAGGAGCGAUGAUCUUGACCCUUUUCUUUAUGCUUCUUCGGAAGAAAGAGUUUUGGGUGGGUAUAAGUGGCAGUCUGACAAGU
rnacentral:snoRNA from 1 species